GACAGAGGGUGCAAACGUUGCUCGGAAUUACUGGGCGUAAAGCGCGUGUAGGUGGCCACGCAAGUCAGGUGUGAAAGCCCAGGGCUCAACCCUGGAAGUGCACAUGAUACUACGUGGCUGGAGUACUGAAGAGGAGAGCGGAAUUCCCGGUGUAGAGGUGAAAUUCGUAGAUAUCGGGAGGAACACCUGUGGCGAAAGCGGCUCACUGGACCAUAACUGACGCUGAGGCACGAAAGCUAGGGGAGCAAACAGG
rnacentral:rRNA from 1 species